CCGGUCGCCAUUUUGAGAAGGAUUUUAACAGAUCAUCAGAGUAUGUCAGAAUCACAGAUAGACCGAGUUUGUUUAUUAAAGUCGGAAUUUUUAAAAUUCUUGAAACCAACAGAUGUUAUAUUCAACAUACAAGGAUUGGAAGAGGACUUUAUUGACGAAAUAUGUGAGCUGGAAAAAAACAAUAGGAAAGAAGCGUCCAAUAAAUUGCUUAAGAAAAUAUCAGAAAAAAGUGAACUUCUUCCAAAGUUUAUACUAGCAUUAUCCGAUAAAGGUUAUCAAAGAUUUGUUGAUCCUAUAAGCAACAUUUAUCCAGACAGAGGGAGGAGGUUUUGUCAAGAAUACUUUGAAUUUCUAAUUAAUUACUUGACAGGAGAGUUAGUUGAUGUAUUAGAACCCUUGUAGCUUUGUGCAUAUUUAUAUAAAAAUAGAUGUAUUGAACAAAGUGAUAAAGAAGCAAUUGAAGCAAUGCAGUUCUCAAAAGGAAGAACUGCUGCGUGUCGAGAAAUGUUUCUUGCUGUGAAACGCAGGAAAGAUAAUUGGGCAUUACUUCUUUUAGAAGCUAUUAAAGAGACACAAGAGUAUGUAAAGUUAAAAAUGGAUCCAUCAGCGUCUCAGGGUAAAAAUUAGUUUUCACAAAUAUGUCGUAUAAUUCAAGUUGUUUUCGUUUAGAUAACAUGUAAAAUGAGCCCCUAUUAACAACGAGUAUUCCUUACAAACAUGUAGUAUAAUCCCUAUAGACAAGGAAUUAUUGGAAAGAUUGAGAAAUACCUGAAAACAUUAUGACAAAUUACAUGACUGUUGUGGCAAAACUGAAGGUAGAUAAAAAAUGAAACUAUUGUUUUUUUUUCUCUGACGGCUUCGAGUGAACACAUUUAAAAGAACACAUUGGCAAGACUACAGUUCAUGCUGUUAAGCGUAUUCCAACUAUAAUAAAUUGAAUAGUUACAACGCUCAAUGUUGAACGUUUCAUGCUUUCUUUUACAAUGAGCAUUUUGUUUUUUCUAUUUUUGAUGUUUCUGUUUUUGUGCAGAGUAUAGAAAUAAGCCGUAAUCAGACAAAGUAGUCAAGGUUGAUCUAGAGAUUAGGAUUUGUUAAAGUACGAUAGUUCAAAGUUUUGUGAACGCAAUAGUUAUUUGGUUGACCUUUAGUGAAUAUAUUUGUCGCAGAUAACCACGGAUAUGUUUCAUUUGUUAAA